UACUCUCCAAAAGGAUAAGGAUUUUAGAAGGAAGGUGACUGUCAUACAUGACUUGUGUGAGAUGACCAACAAGGUCCUUCAUUACUAUAAAGGAGAUUCCCUAGAUGAGCUUCCAGGCCUUGUUGGCAGAAGCAGAAACUAGCAAAGGAAAUGAAGAAGUUUGUAAAGAAGUUCAAGCAACCAAAUUUGUACUCCAUCUCUAAGGAAUGGAAACCCACUGAUACGAAUGAAAAAUGGAUGAAUUGGUGGACACAACAGAUUUACAAGAAGGAACCAAGGCAAAAUUCUUUCUAAAUAUGCUGAGCUUAUGUGAGUCAUUGGGUGAGAAACUUUUGUUUUUCAGUCCGUACCUUGCACCUUUGAAAUUUUUAGAGAGAUUAACAGUCAAAACGAAGGGUUGGACUUCUGGAAGAGAAAUAUUUGUGAUCACAGGUGGAUCAAAGUCUGGGAAUCAGGUAUGGUCCAUGAAGGGGUUUAACAAUUCACCUGAUGCUAAGGUCCUCUUCGGCUCAAUCAAGGCAUGCAGAGAGGGUAUAUCUCUUGUAGGGGCUUUGCGCGUCAUAGUUUUGGAUGUCCAUCUUAAUCCCUCAGUGACCCGACAAGCAAUUGGCCGUGCAUUUAGUCCUGGUCAAAAGAGGAAAGUCUUUGUAUAUAGAUUGGUAGCUGGUGAUAGCCCUGAAGAGGAAGAUCAUAAAACUUUCUUGCAAAAGGAAUUAAUUGCCAAGCUGUGGUUUGAAUGGAAUGAAUAUUGUGGUUAUCGGGAUUUUGGAGUGGAUACUGUUGAUGUGAAAGAUUGUGCUGAUCUGUUCCUUGAAUGUCCAGUGUUAGGAGAAGAUGUAAAGUUUCUCUAUAGAAGGUAGGUCUUGCCGUCAUCAUAAGGCUGAGGUACAGAAAGGGAGAGACGUCACAAUUGGUUUUAAACAUGCAGCUGUUAACUUUAAUCAGUAUGGGAAUGAAUAUAUCUUAGUACGGGCAGAUGAAAAUGGUUGUGGCUGAUGGAGUGGUGGGACCGCAUUAUAGAGGGGAUUGACAUUGAAGAAGUAGGUAUCAAUGAGGUGUGAAGGAGUUGGCACCACCACAUUGGGAGGAAUAGUGUGGCAUCAAGUCAU